UAGUCCUACGGGGGGCAGCAGUGGGGAAUAUUGGGCAAUGGGCGCAAGCCUGACCCAGCAACGCCGCGUGAAGGAAGAAGGCUUUCGGGUUGUAAACUUCUUUUGUCAGGGACGAAGCAAGUGACGGUACCUGGCGAAUAAGCCACGGCUAACUACGUGCCAGCAGCCGCGGUAAUACGUAGGUGGCAAGCGUUAUCCGGAAUUACUGGGUGUAAAGGGAGCGUAGACGGUGAAGUAAGUCUGGAGUGAAAGGCGGGGGCCCAACCCCCGGACUGCUCUG
rnacentral:rRNA from 1 species